AGUCAUCAACACCCCUCUUUGUUUUGAAGAGGGGAAGGUUGGAGCUGGGGGUUUGCGGACGAGAGCCCGCUCCCCUCAAAUGCUUCGGUUGGGCCUGCGGGUCGAACUCGGUUGGGCGUUGUACCAUCCUCGCUCCGGUCCGAGAUGUUCCCCUCGUCUGGUGUCCAACCAAGACUGCCUUCAGGAGUGGCGGUCAGCAAACACUUUGAA
rnacentral:misc_RNA from 1 species